GGGUGCUGGAGGAUGGGAGCAGCAGAUGCAGGUUGUGGGGCUUCAGGAGAAGGAGGUCAAGUGCACAGAAGAUGUCCUGAAACUCAUUGAAGUGGGCAACAGCUGCAGAACAUCAGGGCAGACGUGUGCCAACGCUCACUCAUCCCGCAGCCACGCGGUGUUCCAGAUCAUUCUUCGGAGGAAGGGAAAGAUGCAUGGGAAGUUCUCGGUCAUCGACCUUGCAGGAAAUGAGAGGAGGGCCGAUACGUCGAGUGCCGACCGCCAGACUCUGUCAGGGUCCUCUCCUCAUCCCAUCCCCACCUGACAUCCCUAAAAACCCCUUUUCCCUACCUUUCUCCUCUGUCUCUCUGCCUCUCUGUUCCUCUGUCUCUGUGUCUCCCUUUCAGUCUCCCAUCCGCUCCUCUACCUCUGUCUUCCCCUGCAGUGUGGCACCUGAGUGGAGUUGAGCUUCUCAGCUGACUCCACUCAGGUAAUCAGCCACAUCCAUGGAUCCCGGGCAGCUGGAAGACAUCUCGUUGAUUACCACCUCAGCAAUAAGAACCGGCUCAUCAUUCCACUCCCUGUCAGAUUGUUAAACUAGACACACAGACCAGCUGUCCAGGCUCCUUGCCCCUGCCCCGACCAGCCCAUUCUGUUCCGAACCUGCUCUGCCUUCCCUGCCUUGACCCCCUUCUCCGAUUCUCCUGGUGCCCCCCGGACCCCACCGAACCGUUACUGGACCCCGCCACGGAACCCCCGGACCAGCACCGCCGCCAGGGAUCCGCACCAAACAUCUGCCACCACACUCUGCUCCCCACCGGAGCCGCCACGGCCGCCGAUCCCCGGCUU